UUCCAAACACUCAAACAGGGAGGAUCAUUUGUGAUCGAGUAUGUUUUCUGGUUUCUUUCGUCAUGCUCUCAGUAUUCUGUUGCUUUUUAACUUGAUCUUGGUCUUCUUCGGACUAGUAUUUAUUGCUUACGAUUUGGAAUAGUGACAAGUAAAGACAAAUCACAACUCCCGGUCAUCCAAUUCCAAGAAUAGAGGUACCGACUGUUACGGAUUGGCAAAAAGUACUUGCUCCUUCACUGUUACUGCAACAAAUACUGUCAUAUUGCUCAUCUUCAGAG